rnacentral:rRNA from 1 species
UGCAGUCGAGCGAACAGAUGAGAAGCUUGCUUCUCUGAUGUUAGCGGCGGACGGGUGAGUAACACGUGGGUAACCUACCUAUAAGACUGGGAUAACUCCGGGAAACCGGGGCUAAUACCGGAUAAUAUUUUGAACCGCAUGGUUCAAUAGUGAAAGACGGUUUCGGCUGUCACUUAUAGAUGGACCCGCGCCGUAUUAGCUAGUUGGUAAGGUAACGGCUUACCAAGGCGACGAUACGUAGCCGACCUGAGAGGGUGAUCGGCCACACUGGAACUGAGACACGGUCCAGACUCCUACGGGAGGCAGCAGUAGGGAAUCUUCCGCAAUGGGCGAAAGCCUGACGGAGCAACGCCGCGUGAGUGAUGAAGGUCUUCGGAUCGUAAAACUCUGUUGUUAGGGAAGAACAAAUUUGUUAGUAACUGAACAAGUCUUGACGGUACCUAACCAGAAAGCCACGGCUAACUACGUGCCAGCAGCCGCGGUAAUACGUAGGUGGCAAGCGUUAUCCGGAAUUAUUGGGCGUAAAGCGCGCGUAGGCGGUUUCUUAAGUCUGAUGUGAAAGCCCACGGCUCAACCGUGGAGGGUCAUUGGAAACUGGGAAACUUGAGUGCAGAAGAGGAGAGUGGAAUUCCAUGUGUAGCGGUGAAAUGCGCAGAGAUAUGGAGGAACACCAGUGGCGAAGGCGGCUCUCUGGUCUGUAACUGACGCUGAUGUGCGAAAGCGUGGGGAUCAAACAGGAUUAGAUACCCUGGUAGUCCACGCCGUAAACGAUGAGUGCUAAGUGUUAGGGGGGUUUCCGCCCCUUAGUGCUGCAGCUAACGCAUUAAGCACUCCGCCUGGGGGAGUACGACCGCAAGGGUUGAAACUCAAAGGAAUUGACGGGGACCCGCACAAGCGGUGGGAGCAUGUGGGUUUAAUUCGAAGCAACGCCGAAGAACCUUACCAAAUCUUGACAUCCUUUGACCGCUCUAGAGAUAGAGUCUUCCCCUUCGGGGGACAAAGUGACAGGUGGUGCAUGGUUGUCGUCAGCUCGUGUCGUGAGAUGUUGGGUUAAGUCCCGCAACGAGCGCAACCCUUAAGCUUAGUUGCCAUCAUUAAGUUGGGCACUCUAGGUUGACUGCCGGUGACAAACCGGAGGAAGGUGGGGAUGACGUCAAAUCAUCAUGCCCCUUAUGAUUUGGGCUACACACGUGCUACAAUGGAUAAUACAAAGGGCAGCGAAUCCGCGAGGCCAAGCAAAUCCCAUAAAAUUAUUCUCAGUUCGGAUUGUAGUCUGCAACUCGACUACAUGAAGCUGGAAUCGCUAGUAAUCGUAGAUCAGCAUGCUACGGUGAAUACGUUCCCGGGUCUUGUACACACCGCCCGUCACACCACGAGAGUUUGUAACACCCGAAGCCGGUGGAGUAACCUUUUAGGAGCUAGCCGUCG